AUGGAGUGGAGCUUGAGAGUUCUCUUUCUGGUGGCAGUGGCUGCAGGUGUGCACUCCCAGGAACAACUUACUCAGUCUGGGGCUGAGGUGAGGAGGCCUGGCACAUCUGUCAAAGUCUCUUGCAAGGCAUCUGGAUACACAUUCACUGACUACUACAUUCACUGGGUGCAACAGACCCCUGGAAAAGGCCUGGAGUGGAUUGGAAAGAUAUGCCCUGAAAUUAGUGAUUCAGAUUAUGCCCAGAAGUUCCAGGGCAAAGUGACUAUGACUACAGACACAUCCUCCAAUACAGCCUACAUCCAGCUGAAUAAUCUGAGUUUUGAGAACAUGGCUGUGAAUUACUGUGCAAAAGACACACAGUGA